UACGUAGGGGGCAAGCGUUGUCCGGAUUUAUUGGGCGUAAAGCGCACGCAGGCGGUCUUUCGCGUUUUGAGUGACAGGUCAGGGCUUAACCCUGGCAGGCCUUGAAAUACGGGAAGACUUGAGGGCUUCAGAGGGACGCGGAAUUCCAGGUGGAGCGGUGAAAUGCGUAGAGAUCUGGAAGAACACCAAAGGCGAAGGCAGCGU
rnacentral:rRNA from 1 species